GUGUCAGCCGCCGCGGUAAUACGGAGGGGGUUAGCGUUGUUCGGAAUUACUGGGCGUAAAGCGCGCGUAGGCGGAUUGGAAAGUUGGGGUGAAAUCCCGGGGCUCAACCCCGGAACUGCCUCCAAAACUUCCAGUCUGGAGUUCGAGAGAGGUGAGUGGAAUUCCGAGUGUAGAGGUGAAAUUCGUAGAUAUUCGGAGGAACACCAGUGGCGAAGGCGGCUCACUGGCUCGAUACUGACGCUGAGGUGCGAAAGUGUGGGGAGCAAACAGGAUUAGAUACCCUGGUAGUCCACGCCGUAAACGAUGAAUGCUAGACGUCGGGCAGCAUGCUGUUCGGUGUCGCAGCUAACGCAUUAAGCAUUCCGCCUGGGGAGUACGGCCGCAAGGUUAAAACUCAAAGGAAUUGGCGGGG
rnacentral:rRNA from 1 species